UGGAAAGUGGUGUAAUGGAAACACUUG
rnacentral:tRNA from 1 species